CUACGGGAGGCAGCAGUGGGGAAUAUUGCGCAAUGGGGGAAACCCUGACGCAGCAACGCCGCGUGAGCGAUGAAGGCCUUCGGGUCGUAAAGCUCUGUCUUUUGGGACGAUAAUGACGGUACCAAAGGAGGAAGCCACGGCUAACUACGUGCCAGCAGCCGCGGUAAUACGUAGGUGGCGAGCGUUGUCCGGAAUUACUGGGCGUAAAGGGUGCGUAGGCGGACCUUUAAGUCAGAUGUGAAAUCCCCGAGCUCAACUUGGGAAUUGCAUUUGAAACUGGAGGUCUAGAGUGCAGGAGAGGAAAGCGGAAUUCCUAGUGUAGCGGUGAAAUGCGUAGAUAUUAGGAAGAACACCAGUGGCGAAGGCGGCUUUCUGGACUGUAACUGACGCUGAGGCACGAAAGCGUGGGGAGCAAACAGGAUUAGAUACCCUGGUAGC
rnacentral:rRNA from 1 species